rnacentral:misc_RNA from 1 species
GAUGAAGAACGCAGCGAAAUGCGAUAAGUAAUGUGAAUUGCAGAAUUCAGUGAAUCAUCGAAUCUUUGAACGCACAUUGCGCCCGCCAGUAUUCUGGCGGGCAUGCCUGUUCGAGCGUCAUUACAACCCUCAGGCCCCCGGGCCUGGCGUUGGGGAUCGGCAGAAGCCCCCUGUGGGCACACGCCGUCCCUCAAAUACAGUGGCGGUCCCGCCGCAGCUUCCAUUGCGUAGUAGCUAACACCUCGCAACUGGAGAGCGGCGCGGCCAUGCCGUAAAACACCCAACUUCUGAAUGUUGACCUCGAAUCAGGUAGGAAUACCCGCUGAACUUAAGCAUAUCAAUAAGGGAGGA